rnacentral:rRNA from 1 species
AACGCGAAGAACCUUACCUGGGUUUGACAUCCCUCGACCGUCACAGAGAUGUGAUUUUUGUAGCAAUACAACGGGGAGACAGGUGCUGCAUGGCUGUCGUCAGCUCGUGUGGUGACAUGUUGGGUUAAGUCCCGCAACGAGCGCAACCCCUGUCCUUAGUUGCCAGCAUUCAGUUGGGCUCUCUAAGGAGACUGCCGUGGUGAACACGGAGGAAGGUGGGGAUGACGUCAAGUCCUCAUGGCCUUUAUAUCCAGGGCGACACACGUGAUACAAUGGACGGUACAGAGAGACGCCAAGGGGCGACCCGGAGCCAAUCUCAAAAAGCCGUUCUCAGUUCGGAUUGGAGUCUGCAAUUCGACUCCAUGAAGUUGGAAUCGCUAGUAAUCGCGGAUCAGCACGCCGCGGUGAAUACGUUCCCGGGCCUUGUA